rnacentral:rRNA from 1 species
CAGCACCUCAAGUGGUCAGGAUGAUUAUUGGGCCUAAAGCAUCCGUAGCCGGCUCUGUAAGUUUUCGGUUAAAUCUGUACGCUCAACGUACAGGCUGCCGGGAAUACUGCAGAGCUAGGGAGUGGGAGAGGUAGACGGUACUCGGUAGGAAGGGGUAAAAUCCUUUGAUCUAUUGAUGACCACCUGUGGCGAAGGCGGUCUACCAGAACACGUCCGACGGUGAGGGAUGAAAGCUGGGGGCGCAAACCGGAUUAGAGACCCGAGUAGUCC